AACGAACGCUGGCGGCAGGCUUAACACAUGCAAGUCGAACGCCCCGCAAGGGGAGUGGCAGACGGGUGAGUAACGCGUGGGAACAUACCCUUUUCUACGGAAUAGCUCUGGGAAACUGGAAUUAAUACCGUAUACGCCCUACGGGGGAAAGAUUUAUCGGGGAAGGAUUGGCCCGCGUUGGAUUAGCUAGUUGGUGGGGUAAAGGCCUACCAAGGCGACGAUCCAUAGCUGGUCUGAGAGGAGGAUCAGCCACAUUGGGACUGAGACACGGCCCAAACUCCUACGGGAGGCAGCAGGCGGGAAUAGGGUACUAUGGGCGGAAGCGUGAUACAGCGAGGUCGCGUGAGUGAAGAACGUCGUCUGACAGUAAAGCACUCUAAGGUGGGAGGAACGGGAGUCAGCUGCACCCUGGCUGUCCUGCCGUGAAAUACGGAAGGAGCACCGGCGAACGUGGUC
rnacentral:rRNA from 1 species